AGGCUACAACGGAGGUUAAGAUCAAACUGGAACGACUCUACUAACUGUGCCACUGUGGGUUGCUUUAAUUGAGUGCAACAAACUUGUUUAGUUUUUAGAGAUGCAGCGUGGACCAGCGACCACCCUGUACACCAGUUCUACCCUAAGCGCUAGGGACAAUUUACAUAAACCAAUUAACCUACAAACCUGGACAUCUUUAGAGUGUGGGAGGAAAACGGAGCACCCGAAGAAAACCCACGCAGUCACAGGGAGAACGUACAAACUCCGCACGGACAGCACCCACAGUUUGAGUGACAUCCAACAGAAGGGCAGCAAUGUACCCAAUAUAUUCGGCAAUGAAGACAUCUCAUAUACCUUCUUGGACAUAAAUGCUGGAGAAACUCAGCAUCUAUGGAGCGAAUGAAAUAGGCAACGUAUCGGUUCGAACCCCUUCUUCAGAUAUUUUUAGGCAUCUGCAGUUCCAUCUUAAACACUUAAUCAUAUACCUACUUCACCACUUUGUCUGUCUGGCACUUUCAGCGAUCUGUAUAUUUUGUACUGCAAGAUCUCACUGUUCAAUAAAAAAUCCUUCUGCUAUUUACUGUGUAUGUACAGGCCUGGUUCAAGUCUGGUUGAAGAGGUCAUGGGUUAUGGGGCGAAGGGUGGGAGAAUAUGGUUGAGAGGGAAAGAUAGAUUAGCCAUGAUUAAAUGGCAGAGUAGACUUGAUGGGCUGAAU